CACGCACGGAUCGGAGCUUUGUAAAACAGGCGGCUAUAGGCAAGGACCCGAACUGCCACCGUAUCGCAUCGGGCACGCUCUGCUAGCCUAUAGGAGGAGAGGAAGGAUGGAAGGAUGGAUGGAUGGAUGGAUGGAUGGAUGGAUGGAUGGAUGGAUGGAUGGAGCAGAGGAGCCAGCGAGAGCCGGAGCGCGUUGGCAGCCGGGCAGCGCAGACUCCCCGGGACAGCUUAGCCCUAAGCGGGGAGCCAGGAGAUCCAAUUAUAAUGUAUGCUGGAAAGCAUCUGCUUUAUGAUAAUGGAGAAGCCAUUUACCAGAAGGCUUAUCCUUGUAUCCUGAAAUCGAUCACCGAGGUCGGUUGGAACAAGCCUGCCAUAGAGCCACUGGGUACCAGCGUACAAUUCACCCCCUGAUGCCACAUGUGUUCAUAAAUACCCUGUAGAGGCUUGCAGAGCUUCUCCAAGUGCAACACUACUUCUAAAUGCAAUGACCUGUGAUUUCUUUUACUUUUUGAUGGCUAAGUGCUAUUUGAGAACUUACCCACACCCUUCAUUGAUUUUUCUAGGGCUUUCAUCUCAGAGACCGGCUGCAGGCUCUUGUCAGUACCCCAUUUUAUUAGCAGUGCCACGUUAGCCAAAUUCAGUCCCAAAACAGCCCUCUAGAGCCAGGCAAUUCCUUCAUCUCAGAGUACUGAGGGAGAAGGGCAGCACACAGCAAAUAAAUGUUUUGUCCCAGCUCAUAGGAAAGUGCAUCAGAGGAGGCAACUGAGUCCAUACAUUCCCAGGCUCAGUUUCACCAUAAAAAAUUUAUGAGAAUUAUUGCACUGAAUGAAUGUUUUACCCUCCUCUUCCUCAGAAACUUGCCAUGACACUGCAUUAGUCUUUCUUUCGCAGUAUUCCCAUCCCAAAGUUUUAAGAUGAUUCCCUCUGAACAGAAUUCAGCUACUAUUAUGUUCUUGGCUCUCACCUAGAGAAGAGUGACUUUUCUCCCUUCUUGCAGCUGUUUCCUUUAAUCUGAAAAUAAGUCACUAGAAACAGAAAGAAUAUGUUUCUCUCCCUCUGAGUUUUGAACAUAACAUCGUGACUUGAGCAUAAAGCCUGUUUCAAUUACAGGGAACUUUCUUCUGUCCUGUUAAACUUAAACCUCUGUGCAAUCCAUAUGUACUCAGGGACAGAACAAGAGAACAAAAUUAAAUGCUUAAAUAAGCUUAAGGGACAAAAUCAAGUCAUAUUAAGCUCAAAAUAUACAAGCAAUUCAGUUGUGUGUUUUUCCUUAUUAUUUUCUCUGUUUUUUUUUUGUUUUGUUUUGUUUUGUUUUGUUUUGUUUUAAGUCUCAAGUUUUCUGUCUCACUGUACUUCCAGAAAUGAAUGCAAAUGCUGCAGUUUAAGUGAAGUUUAUCUUAUUAUUUUCUGUACAUGUUUUAAUAAAAAGAAAGACCACCAGCACCCAAGCACCUUCACCCACUUCCCAGCAAUUCCCUCCCCACCCAAGGGGAAACCACAGAUGCUAGAAAUCAUCUCCUCUGGUUAUAGAGCUGUUUUGUGCCUAGAUACAGAGCUUGGAGACCACUGGAAAAUUUGGAAGACAAUCUGAAGGGAACAUAAGAACCCCUAACGUGUCAUUUAUGCAGGGAAAAGCUGCUUAUCUGCUUUGGGCCUAAGGAGAUUAAGGGAGCAAGAACAACCACGGUCCAGGAGCGUGGGGAUGGAGCAGAUGACCCCGGGGCCAUUUCCAGUCCCAGCUGUAGCCCCAGUUCUUCCUCACCUUGCUCAGACUGGGCAAUGUAAUUAAAAAAGCCAACUUGCAGAUUGUAUUUGUCUUUUCCUUCUUCAUAAGUGACAUCCGUGUCCCACUUUUCCUUCGAAGAAGAUUUUGCUGUUCAGAGGCUCAUUUAAUAUAUAAUGAACCAUCUUUGUUUGUUUGUUUUUCUUUUAUUCUUUCUAAUAGGAUUGUUUUCUUACAUCAAAGCCCACAUUUACAGCUAGGUUUUCCUAAUUUCCUUUCCUCUGUUCCCAUUCCUCACCACACAAAGGUCAUGCAGGACUACAGAGAGUGCCUGAAGAUGGGGAGUGGAUCAACAACUGAUGGGAAUCAGCAGGGAUCCACUGACAUCAACAGAACAGACUGAAGCCCAUGCUGAGGUACCCGAUGGUGCUGGAGACAUGAGAAAGCAAAGAAGACUUCAUUUUAAUUUGUUUGGAGCAGGAAGCAAGAAAUAUGGCCCAUAUCAAGGGGCACACAAAUGUUUCACAAACUUUUGGCAGACACAGAUUUAAUUAUCUGAACCAGAAGUGUGCAGGCACAUGGGCACACUCGUGUCGGGAGGCUUUGUCCCAAGCACCAGCCUGGUUUUCCUUCAACUCCUCCACACUUUAUUGCUGACUCCAAGGUAAUUCUGCCACAGAAGGCCUGAGAGUUUGGAAAAUGAUUGGUGAAAUGGGAGUAAGGAUCCCCAGGGAUGUUAUAAGGCACAAAAUCAGCAAAUCUCUGGGAGUGUAGGAUUGACUUGAAAUAUUGGAAGAGACUGGGAACAUCCUACUCAAUACAGCUGAUUAUUCAAACCCUAAAUCUGUUUUCCUUUUGUUUAGAGAGCCAAACUAUUUCAAUCUAUCUGGAAAAUUCAGACACCAUCCCUGUCCUGUUGUUGCUGAAGUAUUUGGUCUAACAGUUGCCACGUGUGCAAGCGUGGCAAACUGUGGAAAAUAGCCAAUGGAGUCAACACUGGCACAGUAAAUAGUUUGGGGCAGAGACCUUCCUUUUUUCCUUGCCUUCCUUGAAGCUCUUCUGAAGGAGGGUAUAGGCAUGACAGAAAUUAAGGUAUUAAUUCAUGAUUUUAGCAACAUAUAACUCAUCUUCUGGCUUUGCUGCUCUUCCCAAGGAGAGCUCAGAACCUAUGCCAUUUUGACCAUGUCCUGCAUGUCUUGUUGGUCACUGAUGGAGAAGCUGAUGAAACCAGAAGAGCAGAGACCUGUGUCUUCAGAGCAGAUAUAUUUUUAUUUCAUCCUUUUGUGGUGUAAACUUGAUUGUCUAUGCUGCCCAGAUAGAAA